UCCAUAUUAAAUACCUCCCGUCAUCAUCCGUUAUAACUUUGUUUGUCAAGCAUGCUACAUUCCUGUGAAAAAAAAAUCGAUGUACCUCUAGACUUGGAUUUAUAAGUGCAAUGGUAUUGAACUGGGAAAAGCUUUGACAUGAUUUUAUGGUCUUUAUCAUCUUUAAAAUGUGUUUCCUGUACACAAAGCACAUCUGAUUCGUUGGAUUUUGCUUCUUUGAAUAAUAAUCGUCUCUUGUGGGCGGUGUUCAGGCCUCUCACAUUAAAUGACAUAUAUUUUAAGACCAUGGUUUAUAGAACAAUAAUACCUGAUAAAGGGUAAAGGAACAUUCAAUCUUGUGAGAGUCCCAGCCACCACCUUCCAAGAGAGAAACAUGCAAG